UGUCCCCGAGUUCUGGCGGGAGCAGCGCGGUGUCCCCAAAUCCUGGCGGGACAUCCAGGGUGUCCCCGAGUUCUGGCGGGAGCAGCGCGGUGUCCUCAAAUCCUGGCGGGACAUCCAGGGUGUCCCCGAGUUCUGGCGGGAGCAGCGCGGUGUCCCCGAGUUCUGGCGGGACAUGCGGAGUGUCCCCGAGUUCUGGCGGGAGCAGCGCGGUGUCCCCAAAUCCUGUCACAACAUCCAGAGUGUCCCCAAAUCCUGUCACAACAUCCAGAGUGUCCCCGAGUUCUGGCGGGACAUCCAGAGUGUCCCCGAGUUCUGGCGGGACAUCCCCAAUAUCCCCAAAUCCUGGCGGGAUAUCCAGAGUGUCCCCAAAUCCUGUCACGACAUCCAGAGUGUCCCCAAAUCCUGUCACGACAUUCCCAAUAUCGCCAAAUCCUGCCGCGACCCCCUCGGUGUCCCCAAAUCCUGUCGCGACCCCCUCGGUGUCCCCAAAUCCUGGCGGGACCCGCCCCGAGCGCUGCACGCUGCUCUAGGGGCGCGACCCCGAAUCCGCCGGAUUUUCACCCAAAAACGGGCAAAAAGUGGCGAAGUUUUGUACCAAAAACGGGCAAAAAAUGUUCAAGUUUUGUACUAAAAAUGAGCGGUAAAUGUUCGAUUUUUGUACCAAAAAUGAGCGGUGAAUGUUCGAUUUUUGUACCAAAAAUGAGCGAUGAAUUUUCGAUUUUUGUACCAAAAAUGAGCGGUAAAUGUUCGAUUUUUGUACCAAAAAUGAGCGGUGAAUGUUCGAUUUUUGUACCAAAAAUGAGCGAUGAAUGUUCAAUUUUUGUACCAAAAAUGAGUGAUGAAUGUUCAAUUUUGUACCAAAAAUGAG
ensembl:lncRNA